GCGGACGUGGCGGAAUUGGUAGACGCAAGGGACUUAAAAUCCCUCGGAUAACUCCGUGCGGGUUCGAUCCCCGCCGUCCGCACCA
rnacentral:tRNA from 1 species